GAAGCCUUCAGGUGGAGGUAAAACUCAGACUCUCUCGAAUUGAGGGUGGAAAAAUUGUGGGCUAUAUCAGCGCUACCAAUCAAGGAGAAAAAGAAAAGGAAAAAAAAAAAAAAGGGAGAUGUGGUCUCCUUCCCUGUCAAUGGACUUUUCCAGAUCCAGACGUUUUACCUGUGUGUAUCUAAGACUGCAGAAAAUAAUUAUCAUCAGCCCCAGUGUUUUUGUACCCAUGGCCUGCCAAGCCCAUUGAGUGCUAAGCCCCUGCUGUGCCAGCAGAUACACACUUUGCUCUCACCUCUGUUGCAGCAUCUCCUCUCUGUUUCUCAGUUUGACCCACAGUUUUCUCUCCCUUGGCAGCAGUCUGGGACAACCAUUACAAAACUGGACAAGCAAGCAGUUCAACUAUUGAAAUAACCAGUGUAAGCCACACAAGGAGUUUGGCAAUAAACUAUUAACAAGGUAGCAGGUGGUAAAGGGAUCUAUAGCUAAGGAGUGGAAGCAGCACAACUAGAAAGUUUUUUGGCUAGCAGGCACUAGCAAUGUUUGUUGUUUAUGGAGUCUGGCUUCUU
ensembl:lncRNA